UACGAAGGGGGCUAGCGUUGCUCGGAAUCACUGGGCGUAAAGCGCACGUAGGCGGACUCUUAAGUCGGUGGUGAAAUCCUGGAGCUCAACUCCAGAACUGCCUUCGAUACUGGGAGUCUUGAGUCCGGGAGAGGUGAGUGGAACUCCGAGUGUAGAGGUGAAAUUCGUAGAUAUUCGGAAGAAACACCAGUGGCGAAGGCGGCUCACUGGUCCGGUACUGACGCUGAGGUGCGAAAGCGUGGGGAGCAAACAGG
rnacentral:rRNA from 1 species